ACACAGACGUGUAAGCAGAUGUUGAAAGUGCGCCACAAAAAUGCACUGCAUUUAAACGUCGCACUGCAAGGUAAACACCCAAGGUCUCCUAAAAUUUUGAUGUCGUGAAAUGUAUAGAUUUUAUUCGGGCUUCAUUCAUAUUACAACUGCGAACAGACGUACCGCAAGGUGCCAAACGAACAGUGAUGCCCUGUCUUUGUUGGAUGUUCAAAUGUUCAUACUUUUACUCGCUUUUACUAAACCUAACUUAUACAGCUCUGCGCGAUUAAGUUCCAAAUGAAGUUCGGUGGACGCAUCCAACUUGAUGACAAAGGCAAAAGAAAGAAAAAAAAUGAUACGUGGGUUGGAGCACGAAACUAUUUAUCGGUUAGGUAUGUAGACCCAAUCCACCACGUAGUGUAAAGUCAAGUGCGACACAGAGAGAAUGGAACUUUGGAAAGUUUGUGGACGUUUUUGAGCCCGCGUUGAGCGAGAACUAUAUAUACGGCUGUAAAGUAAGUGAGCUGCUGCUGCGUAGGCGACCCUUUUUUUUCUCACAAGACGGAAAACGACGUGAUAAAAAAACCAACGGAGAGUUAGCUGCCGGCUAAGUCCACGACGACACAGCUGGAAAGGGAAGUUUUCGCAGCCGAAAUGGAGGAAUAAUCGAAUGUUACCAACGGCGAUAUACGACCUCGUCUAGAAAAAGGGGAUUGCUACUCUAGAAGCUUUUUCUUUGGUGAAUAAAGGCUUCAUUUUAUAUUUUUUAUUUAAAGGGGUUGUACGGAGAAACGCCUCUGGUUAUUCAACUUUAUUCGUAUGGCCACUUUUGGUUGAACUACUUGACUCGAUUUGCACUUGAAGUCAGAGUUGUUUUGCACGUUGUUUCUCUCUAGUUGUGAUAAGGUGUUGGUUGAAAAAAAUCUUGAUAAAAAAUAUAAAAGGAGUAACGAGGAACAGCGACUAACGAAUUGGUUAGCUGUGAUUGCACCGAGUGUUCGACAGGAAGAUGUAAUAGAAGUUGGGAAGCAACUAAGGAAGUAAAGGAAGUAGAGGGCGCAAAAAGAACAAGAGGAUUUAUAGCCUUGGUGUUAAUACUUUCUUGAUUAGGCAUCAUUCACCUUGGCAGGUACAACAAAAAUCGAUUGAUUGGAGGAUUCGCUAAUUCGUCAAGGAGGACAAUGUCCGACUCGUCAAUUAGGUGAGUUCAGGAUUAGCACGAAAAAGGAUGUGCUACGGUUGAUCACCAUGCCAAAAUGAGAUAAUGCCACUACGUGUACCUUCCCAGCAUUAACACGUGCUGUACUACAACGUCAAAGAUUUUCAUGGCCACAUAAUGAACUCUCAGCUGAUGAUGAGUAGAUUGAGGACCGAUGCGUUGGAAGCGAGGUAAUCCAACGAUAGCCAAGUAUCGCAAACAUAAGGUCCCAGCUGCCACCGGCCGGC